CCUACCCAAGGGCUGGCUCAGGGCUUACUUAGUACCCAGGGCUGGAGGGCAAGGAAUGAAUGUCUGGGUCACUACUCUCAUGUUACUGUUCUCUGAGGUCGUCCAUUUUCUGGAAGUGCCAAGUCUGAGAGGAGACGUGGAAUGGUGAACCCGAGGGCUGAUAAUAGGGUCGGCAUGGCUGGAGACUCAGAACACUGGGAUCGACUGAAUUCUACCACUGGCUGGACAUAACGGUUCAAGCCUCUCUAAUUCUAGCACUUGAAAGGCUGAGGUGACAGGUACACAAGUUCAAGACCUGCCUGAGCCACAGAAUUGCCUUCCCUCCGAAAAAGUAAACAAAACAAAACAAGGAAACAAAUCCAGCGCACCCUCAGGUCCCCAGGAGAUUCCUGUGUGUAUUUAGUAUAAAGAUAAGAGAGACUUACAGGGACUGGGGACACAGCAGCUCAUGGUAGUCUCCAAAGAGUGACAUCACCAGAGAGCUUGCCAAAACCCUAUGUUCUUGGGCCCUGCCCCACCCUACCCAGACAGAAUCUGGCACCCCAGAAUGCAGGGCAGAACCUGUUGUAUCUUAAUUAGUCUUCCCCACGGGCUCAUGCUCUGUAAUCAAGUCUGAGGCUUAAAGAUAUAAUGGAGCCCUGAAAACACGGGUCAAUCUUAGCAGCACAAGAGCUAAAAAAGCAACCAUUUUGUGUCCCGUUCCUUACAAAGAGACCUUGACAAAACCCGAACCCAGUGCCAAGCAAGACAGGGCUUCUCUGUACACUGUCACACCAAGCCGGGUGAAAGUGUUCACCAGGAGGCAGUUGGCAAUCUCCAGAACACAGGAAAUCCUGUGGGUUGAAAUUUCAAGCAACUCAAAAUGACUCAAAGAGCUACACUGAAGGACCGAAACUAUAAAAUGCUUUGAAAAACAAAAGACCAAACUCAAGGUACUAGAUUUGGUGGUGACCAAAAGCAGUCAACAAGAGAAAAGUCAAACUGGACUCAGGGGGCUUAAAGGACAUGUAAAACACUCAUGUAUCAGGACACUAUCGGUCGGGUAAGGGCAACAGGGACGAUGGAGAGAGAUCUAGGACGAGGACUUGGAAAGGGAUUGACAGAACAAACAGAAUCCCUCAAACCCAAUGACAAAGAGGACAGAGUCCACCUGGCUUGGUGGCAAACACCUGUAAUUCCAGCACUCAGGAGGCUAAAGCAGGGGGAUUGCUGUGAUAAGGCCAACGGAACCGGUCCAGACUGGAAGAGGCUCCACGGGUGGCGUGCCACAUGGAGUGGCAAACCAAAAUCCUGAUCCACAGCAUCCUGCCACAGAAACCCAGUCUGAAGCAGCUGAACAACUGGAUUGACAGUAUUAAGUGAUGUCACUAGCUGUCUUCAGGGGCGAUGGCAACACCGUGGCUGUCAGCCUGAUCUCAGAGACGUAUGCAAAAGAGUCACCACUUAAAUAACACAGCACCGGGGGCUGACUCUGAAACAGGACAGGGGACUGGAGAAGUGGCUUGCUUAGCACGUGCAAAGCUCCGGGUCCCAUCCUCGGCACCACAUAAAACCUGGUGUGUGCUACAACAAUAUUCCCAGUGUUCAGCAGAUAAGCGUAUUCUCCAUUCCUUAUCAAGGAAACGUCUCUGUUUGAUAGACUGAGAACACCACGUAAAACCACAGCCAAUCAAAACGCAAAGUUGUGGAGCCCUGUCUCUAUGGAUACAUCUCCCAAAUACCUCUGUGCUUAAGGCUCAGGGAACACUGUGGAAGAGGGGGCGGAAAGACUCCGUGAGACAAAGGACCAGGGACUUUCCUCUCAGAUUACAUCUCUUAGCAACAGAAGAAGCCACACCCAUGAACUCUGCAACAUGGUUGCUCGAGCCUGAGCUAGACAAAGACGACACUGACGAGUGUUCUAAACCCAACGGAGGAAGAGCCCAGGAGACCUCGAUGCUACACAAAGCAACCUAGGAGAGCUGGCAGUGGAGGAGUGGCUCUCCCCAGGGAAGGGCACACUGGAUGUGCCAAAUGGCCCACCUGAAAGCAUACAUAAAGUAACAUUAUAUGGACUCAACAUAUAUGUAUAUGUGUAUGUACAAAAACACAUACGCAUGAAAUAACAACUAGUGACAAAAGAGCCAUGAUUAAAAGGAGAGUGGAGG
ensembl:lncRNA